AUACGAAGGGGGCUAGCGUUGUUCGGAAUUACUGGGCGUAAAGCGCACGUAGGCGGAUAUUUAAGUCAGGGGUGAAAUCCCAGAGCUCAACUCUGGAACUGCCUUUGAUACUGGGUAUCUUGAGUAUGGAAGAGGUAAGUGGAAUUCCGAGUGUAGAGGUGAAAUUCGUAGAUAUUCGGAGGAACACCAGUGGCGAAGGCGGCUUACUGGUCCAUUACUGACGCUGAGGUGCGAAAGCGUGGGGAGCAAACAGGAUUAGAAACCCCAGUAGUCC
rnacentral:rRNA from 1 species